AUUGAACGCUGGCGGCAUGCCUUACACAUGCAAGUCGAACGGCAGCACGGGAGCAAUCCUGGUGGCGAGUGGCGAACGGGUGAGUAAUAUAUCGGAACGUGCCCAGUCUGGGGGAUAACGUAGCGAAAGCUACGCUAAUACCGCAUACGAUCUAUGGAUGAAAGCGGGGGAUCGCAAGACCUCGCGCGAUUGGAGCGGCCGAUAUCAGGAUUAGGUAGUUGGUGAGGUAAAGGCUCACCAAGCCGACGAUCUGUAGCUGGUCUGAGAGGACGACCAGCCACACUGGGACUGAGACAGGCCCAGACNCCUACGGAGGCAGCGAGUGGGGAAUUUUGGACAAUGGCGCAAGCCUGAUCCAGCAAUGCCGCGUGCAGGAUGAA
rnacentral:rRNA from 1 species